rnacentral:rRNA from 1 species
CACGUAGGGUGCGAGCGUUGUCCGGAAUUCUUGGGCGUAAAGAGCUCGUAGGCGGUGUGUCGCGUCGGCCGUGAAAACCUGCAGCUUAACUGUGGGCGUGCGGUCGAUACGGGCAUCACUGGAGUUCGGUAGGGGAGACUGGAAUUCCUGGUGUAGCGGUGAAAUGCGCAGAUAUCAGGAGGAACACCGAUGGCGAAGGCAGGUCUCUGGGCAUUAACUGACGCUGAGGAGCGAAAGCAUGGGGAGCGAACAGG